UUAUGGCCACAUCACGUUGAAACACCGGUUCCCGUACGAUCAGCUAAGUUAAGCUACGUUGAGACUGGUCAGAACCUAGAUGAGUGACCGCUUGGGAAUACCAGAUGCUGUAGG
rnacentral:rRNA from 1 species